rnacentral:rRNA from 1 species
GACAGAGGUGCCGAGCGUUAGGCGGAAUUACUGGGCGUAAAGCGCGUGUAGGCGGUUGUUCAAGUCAGGUGUGAAAGCCUUGAGCUCAACUCAAGAAAUGCACUUGAUACUGGAUGACUAGAGGACCGGAGAGGAUAGUGGAAUUCCCAGUGUAGUGGUGAAAUACGUAGAGAUUGGGAAGAACACCAGUGGCGAAGGCGGCUAUCUGGACGGUUUCUGACGCUAAGACGCGAAAGCGUGGGGAGCAAACAGG